rnacentral:misc_RNA from 1 species
CAGCUCGGAAGUUCAUCCUUCCACUGAAACUAGCUGUAGUGGGUUAAGUGACCUUUCAGCAGUGCAAAAUGGGUUAGCGGGAAGGAGAAGUCCUUCUGUAAUGGAUGAUAGUUCAUCAACAUGUUCCACAGACUCAAUUCCUUCAGUGGUUUUGAAUGGGCCUUGCAGAUGGACAUCUUCGAACCAUAAAAAUCAGAAAUCACCAAGCAGAGCGAGAAACCAGAGAAACAAGUCAACUUGUAAAGCCGCCGAUUGGGCUAGUGAAACACUAAGUCAGCCGUUAGAUGCUGUUUCGGAUGUAGGGCAGCAAAGUGAUAUGAGUUGCAGGGCACCUGCAGCUGAGCCUCAGUCUUCUGUGCUUUUGUCGAGUGAGCAGCAAGACACGAAGAAGGAAGUAGUAGCUUCGCCGCAGAGGAAGUCAAGGAAGGCUGACACAGAGAGACCUUCCAAGGAGGAGUCAAGUGUCCAGUCUUCUCCCAGAAGCCCUCCAAAAGUUGCAGGCUCUGAUGUUCAGCAAAAGUCACAGAUGAAGAUUCCAGUCACAAGUGAUCCUAUUUUGGUUAAAAGAUCAUCUUCAGAUGGUCCUAAGCUUGCUGAUAAGCCAGUUCUGGUGUCGGAUUCAUCUGAAACUGCUGUGAUGUUGAAAGCUGAUCCUCAUAAAACCGUAGAACCAAGGGUCAAGGAUAAGGCGGUUCAGGCCACUUGUGUUACGGCUGGGAAGGCCCCCACGUCUCAACAAGUAACAGUGUCUACUACAACAGAAAGUUUCAAAUGGCAACAUGUGCCUGCCAUGUCAAGACCUUUGUGUGAUCCUCUAGUUCCUGGACCUAAGCCUGCUGCUCCUGUUGUUUCCAUGGUUCAGACAAUGCCAUCACUGGCUCGUUCGGUUAGUGCUGCUGGUCGAUUGGGUUCUGAUCCUUCACCCGCAACACACAGUUAUCUUACUCAGUCCUACCGGAACGCAAUUAUGGGCAGUCCUGUUUCUGGAACCCCAGCUAGUUUUGGUCAACCUCAUUCUCCAAUUUCAGCAGUUAACUCAUCACAUUCAUACUGUCAACAGCCUCCAGUGAUUUCUCAAGCGUUAUAUUUACCGCAGGGCUUGGAAAGAGCAGAACCUAGUUCUGUCAGACCAAGCUUUUCAUAUGGAAUGGUGAAUAAUAAUGGCAGCGUGCAGAAUGGACUGCAUUGGGAUUGUCCCCAAAGGGACAGCAGCAGGAGUAUGUCUCAAGAUCAUCCUUCUUCAUCAAGUGGAAUUAGGAACUUUGAUAUGUUCAAGGCUGUAAACAGCAGCAGGGCACAUGAUCACCUUCCUGAUUCUCUGGCAUGCACGUCUGGACGCCAACCCCAGAGUGUAUCAGCUGAUGAAUUCCCUCAUCUUGAUAUUAUUAACGACUUACUGAAUGAUGAUCAUGGGAUUGGAAGAACUUCUAUACCCGACUCAAGCUUUCAAAGCUUUAGCAGUGGAUUGCAGCAUCUGAAUCAGGGGUUUGCAUUCCCAGGCGAUAUCGGCACGCCAGUUGAUCUAGGUCCCUCAUCGAGCUCUUGUAGGUUUGAACGAUCACGAAGUUAUCAUGACGUGUUCCAGCAUAACUAUUCUGGAGGCCUUUUUGAUAGUGCAAGUGAUGUGAUUAUGCAGACCGACCCUCGACUCAAUAGUGGGCAUCAUCAUAUGGACGGGUUAGUUCCUAACCAGUGGCAAAUGAUGGGUUCUGACCCAUCAUUUCUCGGGAUGAGGAAUGGGACUAUUGAUGGUGGUCACCAGUAUCCCCUCCCCGACUACCCCAACUUGGCAUGCGGCGUCAACGGGUAUGGAGUAUUUAGGCCUUCAAAUGGCCUUUGAAAGCUUCUAUAGGGGGAGCCUUGCCUUGAAUAUUUAAGCUGUUUUCCUUUGUAAUAAUGCAUUUGAUUGAGAAGAGCCUUUUCGUCUUUACAGGAAACAUUUUGUAUAGGGUGCUUCUGCUUCUUUGUUUCAAAUUUUAACUUAAAAAAACCAUGGCUUUGCUAUUGCUCCUCAGAUUGAGUAUUUG